rnacentral:lncRNA from 1 species
CGGAUUCAUAAUCCAUUAGUUUUUCAAUUACCUCAAGUCGGGGAGAGAAAAUAUCGAUAUCAAUAAAUCUCAAGGCAAGCAAUACAAGCAUGCGCAAAUCAUGUCGAUGUCGUACGGCCCGAUCCAACAAUGUUUAAACUGUGCACUGCCAAAGGUCGAACGACACGAAUCAUAGAUGCAUCAAUUUAAUCUACCGAGACGUUCGACCCGUUCCAAAAAUAAACACACACAGACAGUCAAUUAAGAAGUCAACACGGAUCAAUUAUCUAAAGAAAGCCAAUCCUCUAUUAACCAUUUAAGAAAAUGAAGUUUAAUCUAUUUAGAAAUGCAUUUAGUAAUUCGAUUUGAUUUAAGCAAUUCAAGCUGUCAAUAAGAUUAGAAAUAAUCCAAGUAUAGCAUGCUUUUGGGUCUUAGACUGCCCGGAAGAUAGCAUAAUAGUAGCUACGCAUGGACUCACGUCACCUCGUGCGUACGUAGCCCCCACAAGUAGGAGCACAUAACCAAUUGACUCACAUAUGGGGAAAAUUCCCUCUUACAAGGUUAGAAAGAAGACUCACCUCACUCCGAAGAUCAAUAACCGGCAUUUCACGCCCUUCGAAAAAAUCGAAUCGAUGCAUAAUGCUCCAAAACUAGACAAUGAUUAUGAAAAUCCAUUAAUAUACAUUGAAUUACUCAUUACAAUCGAAUUUACAAUAAUUCCCAACCCAGAUCGAAAAGUUGACAAAAUUGCCCCAAUCUCACGUGCCUGGAUUUUGAAAUUUUUCGAAAAUAAACUUUACCCAUGAAUACAUGAGCUCAAAUAUAUGAUUUUCUCUUAAUUCAAUACCCAAAAUCGUGGUCAAAUUUCAAGAAUAUCAAUUUUCUAGGUUUUCCCUCAAACCCCAAGUUUUCUACAAAUUUUCAUGUUCAAAUCCGUAUAUAAUCAUUUAUUUAACUCAAGAAAGGUGGGGAUAGCUUACCUUAUCAUUGAUGAUGAAAAUCUUCUCUUGAAACCCUUCAAGAAUUGCCCAAGCCAAGAAAAAAAGAGAGGAAAUGGCCAAAAACCCAAUUUGAAAACACCCACUACCUCCAGCACUUUCUACACCUGCGUUCCCUUGACCGCUUCCGCGGUUCCGCAGGUGCGAGCCACAAUGCCACUUUUGCAGAUUCCUCCAGGCUCUCUUUCUCCGCUUCUACGCCUUCUCUUCCGCACAUGUGGUCCCGCAUCUACGGUUCAGCUCUCUUUCGCCAAUACUGCAUCUCCAGCUCUUCUUGUCGCUUCUGCAGCUCUGCACUUGCGUCCCAAUUCUCGCAGGUGCGGUUAUGACAGCAACAAGCAACUUCAGCCUUCUAAAAAUUCCAUUUUCGAUCCAUUAACCACCGAAAUCCACUCGAGGCCUCCCGGGACCCCAAUCAAUCAUACCAACCAGUCCCAAAACACAUUACAGACUUUGGAGGCCUCAAAUCAUAUCAAACAACGCUAAAACCACGAAUCGACCUCCAACCAAGCUUUAUGAACUUUAUAACUUCAAGAUUUUACUCUCAAUGUCUAAACCUAUAAAAUCACGUCCGAUUGACUUCAAAUUUUGCAUACAAGUCAUAUUUGACAUAACAGACCUACUCCAACUUUCAAAAUCCGAUUCCGACCCUAAUAUAAAAAGUCAACUUCCAGUCAAACUUCAAAUAAACCCUUACUUUUCUAUUUUAGCUAAAUGACUCCAAAAUGACCCACGGACCUCCGAAUUCACUUCCGAUCGAGCUCCCAACUCUAGAAUCACCAUACGGAGCUACUCCCAGACUCGAAAUCCCAAGCGGACAUCGAUAACACUGAAAUUCACUUCGAGCCAGACUUAUAAAAUUUUUUCCAAAAUUCUAACUUCCACAAUAGAUGCCAAAACGCUCCCGAGUCAUCCAUAACUCUAUCCAAGCAUACACCCAAGUCUGAAAUCAUCAUAUGAACUUGCUGGUACCUUCUAAUCCCAAUUUCGAGGUCAUUUACUUUGAAACACAUUCUUAGUUAAUUCUCCCAACUUAAAGCUUUCGAAUGAGAAUUAUCUUUCCAAAUCAACUCUAAUCUUUCUGAAAUUCAAUUUCGACCAUGCGUACAAGCCAUAAUACCUGAAAUGAAGCUGCUUGUGGACUCAGAUUGCUGAAUGACACGCUAGAGCUCAAAACAACCGAUCAGGUUGUUACAAUUAUUCUGAUCUGCAGUCCACAUUGAAAUCUGAAAUAAAAAGUAUAAAGGAGGUAGAAGGUGAAUAUGAAAAUCUAAAUGUUGCUUCCUAUAUAGGAAAAGAAGUUCUAGAAAAAGCAGAAGAAUUGCUUGGUAGAGGAAAAAAAAUCGUAAUUGUAACGGCCCGACCGGUCGUUUUGAGCUUUUGCACUUCGCUCGCCAGUUCUCAGGCAUGAAUUGCCCCAUGUGAUUUAUUAUGACUUACGUAAGUUAUUGGUUUUGGUUUUUGGGGUAACCCGAAUAAAUUUGGAAGAAUAGUUCUCAUCUUAAAGCUUAGAAUUUGAAAGGUUUGACCAAGAUUUGACUUGUUUGUAUAUGAUCUUGGACCAGAAUUUUUAUGAGUUGGUUAGCUCCGUUAGGUGACUUGGGACGUAGAAGCAUUAUCAGAAUGCUUUUUGGAAGUCCGGGGAAGGUCCAGUCUUGAAUUGGCAAAAUUGAGAUUUUGACGUUUUACAGUCGAUAGGUGAGAUUUUGAUAUAUAGGUCGGAAUGAAAUUUUGGAAGUUGAAGUACUUCCAUUGUGUCAUUUGGGAUGUGUGUACAAAAUUUCAGGUCAUUCGAACGUGGUAUGGUUAGGUUUUUGAUCAAAAGCGUACUUCGAAAGAUUUUAGAAACUUAGGCUUGGAUCUGAUGUGAUUUUGUAGAUUUGAUGUUUUAGAGGUGUUUUGAUGAUUGGAUCAAGUUCGAAUAAGGUAUUGGGUUAUGUUGGUGCUUUUGCUUAAGGUCGCGAGGGCCUCAGGAUGAUUUCGAAUGGUUGUCGCAGAGGUUGAGAUGUUUUGCAUUUGUUGUAGUUUUUGUUGCUUUUGGUGUUUUCGCACCUGCGGUUUGAGGACCGCAGGUGCGGUGCCGCACGUGUGGAAGGUGAGCCGCAGGAGCAUAUUCGAGAGGAAUAGUCAGUAACCGCUAUGCAGUAGAUGGGCCGCACCAGCAGAAUCGCAGAUGCGACAAGUGGACCGCAGAUGCGGUAUUUGGCCUUUAAGUGAUUUCCGCAGAAGCAGAGAAUCUGACCGCAUAUGUGGUGCCGUAGAAGCGAGUUUUGGACCGCAGAUACGUGUAUGCCUGGGUAAAACAUAUAAGUUAUUUCAUUUCGCGAGUUUGAGUUAUUCCACCAUUUUUAACUUCGGCUUGAGGGCUUUUGGACGAUUUGGAAGAUGGAUUUCAAGGGAACUUCAUUAAGGUAAGGAUUUUGGAACAAAAACACAUUUCUAUGGUAGUAUUUCAUGGAUUAAGGCUGUAAUCAAAGGAAUUAAAGGGCUAAAAAUGGGCGGGGAGGGGAUUACGGCUUGAGUUAAGAUGCCUUAAAAUGAGGACUUGAGGGGUCAUUUGAAUUCCGAUUUUAAUAUUCUUGAUAUGCAUAGACUCGUGGGGAGAUGAGGAAUAUAUUGAUUUUUGAUUUUUGAAAAAUUUCUGAUUUUUGAGACCUGGGCCUCGGGGUCAGGUAUUUGUAAUCUCGGGAUUUAUGCCCUUUAUUGAUUGUUUUCGCUGAGACUUUGUUCCCUUAGCAUAUUUGACAUCCUCGUUCUGAUUUUGAAUAGAUUAGACGCACAUGGAGGCCGAUUCGAGGGGCAAAAGUGUUGCGAGCUAGAGAUUUAAAUUGAUUAGAUCCAAGUCCCAUAUUUUUCUAUGGACCUGCGAGACCGCCAAAUCACGGGUCCAGGUCCGUUUUCCCAAAAUAUUGACCGAAGUAAAAUUUAUUCAUUAGCUUUUUCGGCUACAUGUCCGGACUGUGCACACAAAUCGAGGAGACUCCAAAUAGGGUUUUUAAGGCCUCUAAAACAACCAUUCGUCCUCGAAAGGACAGAAAUAGAAAGUACUUGAGUUGGGAAAAAGAUAAGGGCAACGGCUCCACAUAUCGGACACGGACUCCCAGGUUGAUGCCUCAGGAGGUUGGCCUCUCCACUGAACACGAACAGAAGGAAAACUCAUCAAUCUCAACUGACGAAUCUGUCAGUCUAGAAUAGCCACAUGCUCCUCCUUAUAAGACAAGUCCUUGUCCAACUGGACAGUGCUGAAAUCUAACACGUGGGAUGAAUCGCCGUGAUACUUCUGGAGCAUGGACGCAUGAACACUGGAUGCAUAUCUAAUAAGCUCGGCAGAAAUGCAAGUGUAUAAGCCACCUCUCCCACUCGAUCAAGGAUCUCAACGGACCAAUGAACCUAGGUCUAAGCUUUCCCCUCUACUCAAAUCUCAUCAUGUCCUUCAUAGGCAACACUUGGAACAACACCCACUCACCAACCAUAAAAGCCACAUCUCAAACCUUGUGGUCUACAUAAUUGUUUUUCCUGGACUGAGCUGUAUGAAGCCUGUCCUGAAUGAUCCUGACCUUGUCCAAGGCCUCCUGAACCAGAUACGUACCCAACAACCAAGCCUCCCCCGGCUCAAACCAUCCAACCGGAGUUUGACACCAACUACUAUAUAAAACCUUAUAAGGAUCCAUCAGGAUACUUGACUGGUAACUGUUAUUGUAGGAAAACUCUGCAAAAGGCAAAAACUGAUCCCCCGAGCCUCCAAAGUCAAUAACACAAGCUCGGAGCAUAUCCUCCAAAAUCUAAAUAGUCCGCUCGGACUGCCUGUUCAUCUGAGGAUGAAAUGCUGUGCUCAACUCAACCCGUGUACCCAACUCUCGCUGAACUGCUCUUUAGAAGCGCGAGGUAAACUGCAUACCCCGUGUCACACCUCCCUUUUACACACCCGAAGGUGAUACAAGAGAGUUUCUCCAAUUUAAGUGAAAUUAUUCGAAAUGAAAAUAUUUAUUCAAUUUUAUUCAGAGUCACCACUUGGGAUAGGUUUGUUUCGGGUGUCCCAAGUCACCGAUUUAUUUUAAAUCCCAAAUCGAGGAAAAUUCGACUUUCCUUAUGAAGUCUGCGAACCACAAAUUCUGAAUACGAAAUUCUGUUAACCCAGGGAAGGUAUUAGGCACUCCCAGAUUCCGUGGUUCUAGCACGGUCACUUAAACUAUCAUAAUUGGCCUAUUAUCUAAUUUUAAUACAUGUUUUUAGCCUAUGGUGUAAUUUUAAAUUAUUUACCGCUUUUAAUCAAUUUUAAGGAAGAUUGAACGUUGUUUAAAACAUGUCUUUGCAUCGCGUCACAUGAAAUGCACCUGCAAUCCGAAACACAUUUUGUUCAACGUUUUAGGAUUUGGAUUUGGGUCACAUGAAAUGCACACCCGAGUUUAGAAAAGUAAAUUAUUAAAAUACGCGCCUAAAGCAACUACGCGUUGGCAACUUUGCGAGGGCCAUGAAAAUUCGCUAAAUAGUACGCCUCGAUUUCUAAGGAUAUACAAGAUUAGUUAAACGAGCGCCAUGCAAUUAAAAAUUUAUUCGGCAUGGCACACCUCGAGUCAUGAAAAUUAGGCAUCGUAGCUAUGUCACGGGAACCAUACCCAUAACCACGAUGGUUUAUUAAACAUAAAUAAAUAAUGAAAUUCACUAAGUAGAGCUUAUAUAUUUAACAUAUAGUGUGAAAGAAAGUUAGAAAUGUUUUAAGAUCAGGAGGCAGUGCAACUACUUUUGCAUCACAGGUUUAAGAAUUCUAAAUUUUAGCAUAUACGAAAUAUCUAGCCCCAACGGAGUAGAAACGAAAUAACAGUUCUUCCACAUUUAAGAACAAAAAUCCUAGUGAUAUGUAGUUUCAUCAAAGUAUUCAAUGAAGUCAUAUUUCUGCAUUAAAACUUUCAAUUCCUCCCAUUAAUUUGGCAUUAGGAAGAAGAGAAACCACGUGGAAAAAGCGGAGCAGCAACAGUAUUAUCCACAUAAGCCUCAUCAUCGUCAAGUUCAAAUUUGAAUUAUCUUAAGCAAACUAAACAUGAUUCCUAAAGCAGACUUCAGAGACGAUUUUAGAUAUUAUACCCAGGCAAUGGUUUUUAAAAUCAGAAUUGACUUUAAAUUGACCAAAUUCAGUUGCUUAGCAUUCAUAGAUUUGUCACUUGUCACAUUCAAACAUGCCAACAUAUAGAUUUACACAAAUAGGCAUUUGAACUAAAUUUCACUUCAUUCAUAUACGAGUAAACACAAAGGAAACUCAGGGGUAUAUGUGUACCUAGUUUAGAAGUAGGAACAAGAGCUCGGAUAGCAGCAAAAUAAAGGGAGCUGUACAAGUUGUAGCUUAGCGGUGAACAGACAGCAGCAGCGGAUCGGCCCAGAAAAAAUUCGAAUAAAACCUUCGAUGGAAUUAGAAUUCGCCGGAAAAUUCAAAUUACACCGAAAGACUUGUCGGAACUUGGACCUCUUCUUUUUCAUUUCAUCUCGUUUUUUGCCUUUCCGCUAUGUAUCCUUUUUCUGUUUCUUUUGUGUGUGUUUUUUUCUAAUCUUUGAAGUAAAGAAGCUAAGAAUAUGUGUGGGUGUAUUUUUGGUUGGUUUUGUGGUUGAAAUUGAUGGAAAUCAGCUGGGUCUUUUAGUUCAAAGAUGGAGCUCACCUAGCUAAAAAUGUGCGUCGUUGCUCUCUUCUCCAGGGAAAGGUCUUCUCUUUAAUGUUUAUAUGAUCUGAUCUUAUAGCGAAUUAGGGAUUAGGUUUU